AGUGAACGCUGGCGGUAGGCCUAACACAUGCAAGUCGAACGGCAGCACAGUAAGAGCUUGCUCUUACGGGUGGCGAGUGGCGGACGGGUGAGGAAUACAUCGGAAUCUACUUUUUCGUGGGGGAUAACGUAGGGAAACUUACGCUAAUACCGCAUACGACCUACGGGUGAAAGCAGCGGAUCUUCGGACCUUGCGCGAUUGAAUGAGCCGAUGUCGGAUUAGCUAGUUGGCGGGGUAAAGGCCCACCAAGGCGACGAUCCGUAGCUGGUCUGAGAGGAUGAUCAGCCACACUGGAACUGAGACACGGUCCAGACUCCUACGGGAGGCAGCAGUGGGGAAUAUUGGACAAUGGGCGCAAGCCUGAUCCAGCCAUACCGCGUGGGUGAAGAGGGCCUUCGGGUUGUAAAGCCCUUUUGUUGGGAAAGAAAAGCAGCAGGUUAAUACCCCGCUGUUCUGACGGUACCCAAAGAAUAAGCACCGGCUAACUUCGUG
rnacentral:rRNA from 1 species